AUAGCUUAUCCUUAUCCAUACAUACGGAUGGAAUGAGGACUGAAUACGGAACUGGAUUAUUUUUCGUAACCUCGGUCAGACUGUAUACGGGCAUCGCAAGUAACGCUUCUGAUUCGUCCUUAGUCCUAGGGGGUUCAGGGGUGUUACCUGACCCCUAAAAACUAUACUAUCGGUAACCCUUUUAAAACUUAUUUAGAACAAUGAACUUGCUUUGUUACAUUAGUAACUCACACUAGUUGAAUCCUUCGCAACCCCAAAAAAAAAAAAACUCAAAAAAACAAUAAUUCUUUUUCACCAAAACACAACAUAAUGUAAUUAAACAACAUCAUUUGGUUAUUUGCUACACUAAUAGCCAUCAACAAGAAAACACAAACUCCAAUUUGUUUGAUACAUCAGCUUCCAAGCACCUCACGUUGUCCAUCGACCAUUCG
rnacentral:lncRNA from 1 species